UAUAGGCCAAUCAUAAUAAGC
rnacentral:siRNA from 1 species